rnacentral:lncRNA from 1 species
AUGACGUCUCUGGAUCAGAAUCUUCAAAUACCAUCUUCAGGAAAUCAAUCUAGAGAGGGGAAAAGCAUGCCAAAUGGCAGUCACACAGCCCUCUUCCUCCACUUGAACGUGCACCGUCCACGAUGCCUCUUGCACUCACCCUGGGUGGAAACACAAGCCUCACCACCUCCCCAACUUCCCUCUCCGAACACUCAGCUGGAGCGAGGAGCCCUGCAGGUUGUAGAAACCACGUGUCACCGGGAUUUUAGGACAGAGGGAAAGGCAGGGGAGACAGUCCUCCGAGGGGGUGGAAAUGAGGUGAGACACUGCUGUCAUGCCUCCACUGUGCAGCCCAAUGCAGCCUGUCAGCUGGGCGCCCGGGCGUCCGGUUGCUUCUGUCUGGGUCCUAGGCGCAGAAUCCAAGGAGUGUCAGGAGCGACUGAGCAGCGGCGGCAGUGUGUGAUGCUCACAGCCCCAGGGCCGUCACUCAGGCCCUCACACCUCUUCCUAGCAAGGAGCACGAGAUUUCCAGGACUGGUCGACCUGUGCCUGCUUCUUCCCUGCCUGGGCUCCCCUGUGGUUUCUGACCAGUGCCUGGGCAGACUAUUCCAGGACGCAGGUGAAAAGGUGGAUUCUGAGCUCUCACCCAAGGACAUCAUGAUUCCUUGGUUGGAGGAAGGCUCAAGAACCUAGUUCCUGGGGCCAGCACUGUGGUGCAGCAGGUUAAGCCACUGCCAACAGUGCCGGCAUCCCAUAUGGGCACCAGUUAGGGUCCCAGCAGUUCCACGUCUGAUCAGGCUCCCUGCUGAUGGCCUGGGAAAGCAGCGGAAGUUGGCCCAAGUGCUUGGGCUCCUGCACCCACGCAGGAGACCCAGAGGAAACUCCUGGCCCCUGGCUUUGGGCUGGCUCAGCCCUGGCUGAUGAGGCCAUAUGGGGAGUGAACCAGCAGAUGGAAGAUCUUUCUCUCUCUCAGUCUCUGUCUCUCCCUCUCUGUAACUCUGCCUUUAAAAUAAAAUAAAUAAACCUUUUUUUAAAAGAAGAACU